AGAGACUUAUGCCAAAAAAGAAACUUCUAACUUCUACUUAGGCGGUUAAAUUCCGUUAGUGUCUC
rnacentral:tRNA from 1 species